ACAUUUGACAUUUAUUAUAAUUUCUGUUAUGACUAGUAGUGUUUUCACAUAAAUUCACGCGAUACUCAUAGACAGGAUGCAUACAUACAUAUAUGGGAACUAAAAUAAAGACAGCUCGAAAUCAAAUUCAUCCCUUUCUAUCACAAGUUAGCAAUCUAUUCAUAUAAGUCUAUGAUUAAAAAGAGGUCAUGUGAUCAAAAUUGAUGAAUAACAAGUUCACCAUGCUCGACAUUUGACACUGCCACGUACCUAAAAGUACCUUAAGAGUAAAAUGAUAUUCUCUGCGCUAUGUAAAAGAAUACACCCUGUGAGUGGCAGUUUAUUGAUGUUGAGAGCGACUAGCCAUCAGAGAUCCAAUUCGUUCGGAUUCGCAUGAGCAACCGCAUUCUCCUUAAAUAGAACAUCAAUCUAAAUUCAUUCCAGGCAUUCAAGGCAAGACCCAUUAGAUCACCUUACUGAAUCUAGUAGUGAAGGACCAGAAAACGCCGCGAUCGACUAAAAGCUUCGAGUUAGAUCUCCUUAGUGGACAUAAAUAUCAGACAUUCACAAGAUAAAAAAAUCGAACAGAAAAAUAAUCAGUGAAAAAAUCGAUAAAUUAAAAAAAACUAUCGGUGUUUUCGAUUAAUCGAUAAAAAUCCAUCCUGUGCAACUAAUUUCGAACACUGUUUUAAGAUUACUCUCUCAUAUGCUUGUGGUGCGUACGCUGAUUGUUUAAUUACCACAAAUAUAUAUAUGGGAUUUACGGUUUUAAUGCUGAUUCCAAAUGGCGGAUUUUUCGAGAAGUGUUUCUGUGAGCAAGGGUGAGCAACUCUCGGGAGAUUGUCAGUCUUUUCCAACAGGAGAUACAGGCGUAAAUAUUUAUUUUAAGGUUCCUACUAGUGCUGCCAGACAUGCCCCGCACUCUGCGUUGAAACCACU